GAUGAAGUCGGCUAUUGGGCUUUGUUUACACUGGCUCGUGGUGGGGGGAAGAGGCCCGUUGCGGCGCGUUUUCAAGGCUUGGAACGGCAAUAAUACGACCCAAGUGGGGCAAAGAGCGAUUUUUCAGUGGUCGAACGCUUCCCCGAACCAUCCAACGACCCUCAACUGCACCAUGACCCAGAGGAGGGGCGGUAGGGAGGCAGAAAUAGGCUGUGGUUGGUGACAAGACAAGGGCGUAGGGAAGGGUCGUGUCCCCGAACUCUUAUCAGAAAAGCAGAAAGAGAGCACAGGACCAACGGGGAGUGAAAGUGACACGGGGGACGGAGAAUUUGAGCCUACGGCAGAAAUGCUAGUAGAUGAUUUCGAUGAUGAAAGAACGCUAGAUGAAGAGGAGGAUAUGGAAGAGGGUAGUGAUAGGGAGGAAGAGAUCGAUACCCUGCAGAAGGUGGGUGGCGUUGCUAACCUGCAGAAGGUGAGGGUGACCUGAUUCUCUGGUAGAGGUACAGUUGUGGAUGCAGAAUAAUGACUGUUCAUAAGGAUGACCACCUUUAAACAUAGACUGGAAUUGGAGUCAGAGAUACUGUUGAAAAUAAGUAAUUUCCUCGAAAGGAUGUAUUUUGAUACACUUAUUCCGUUGAGGAUUCUGAUUUGAUACUCAAUAGAUUCACAUGCAUUCACAUACACUGCAUAUACUUUCAUCAAGCUUUUUUCUCCUUCACCUCCUCCACCAUCUCCUUCUCCUUCUCUUCCUUCUCCUUC
rnacentral:misc_RNA from 1 species